UCCCAUGUGAUUGGCACUGAUGCCCAUCAACACUCGUGGAUGCCUCGUACUAAUGUUUUACAGGACGCUUUUCUCGCUAAUGCGCACCAUUAGCGUAGCCGGCCCAGCGUACUGCUCCUCUCAAGCACUCAACAGCAAGUGCACUCAUUUCCGCGUGUUUACUCUUGUUGGUACCCGGUUAUGGAUUAUACACCAAUGAUUCUAAAGCAACUAUCACUUAUGCCAAAAGUGUGCAACAUCUUCAUAAUUGUGAAGUACCUGUCACUGAUACGCCAAAACGAAUGGAAUAACAUCUUUCUUAAAUGCAAUCAUGACUUGAAUUUGGCUAUAUAGAAUCAAUCAUCCAUCGAAAAAAAAGGCUGGUCUUCGAUCGUUUGCUUCAGCGUAUCUUCACGUGAGGGUGCUGCCGUUUGACGGGGGGAUGAACGAUUGUCGCACAAAUGGCAUCGACAGUUUCGUAGCCAGGAGUUUCGGGGAGCUCGGGGAGUCCUAACCGCGAAAACGCAACCUUUAAGUGAACCAGUCUCGUGUUAGUACUAAUAAAUACAAAAGUUAGCAAGGAAAACCACUACGACCACGCGGUUAACAUGAUUUCGUAUGCCCACAGGGAACGCCAAUGAAUGGAAGAUAUUGAUAUUGUUAUCGCUUACUAUCGGAUGUCACCUUUCUACAAGUUCUUUCACGUUACGCUGACGACCAGAAAGUCAUAGUAUUCGACGUGAAUUGAAGAGGAGCACAUGAUAAGCUUAGACUCAUUUUAUCCUCGCUCCACUAGCCAUCUUAUUGAGAAUAGACGUUUUUUUACUGGAGUCUCCAGACGUCGAUCCACUGGUCAGUUCUCAAAUGUGACAAAAAUAAAGAUAAAUAAAUAGUAACGCACCAGUCAAUUGACAGCCUGGCCCCCGACCUGAAGAUAAAUAAAUAGUAACGUACCAGUCAAUUGACGGCCUGCCCCCCCUGACCCCCGGGACAUACCCGGGAGGUAACGCGGUCAUGCGGGGGAUUUAACACCUAUUUAACACCUGUUGUCCACCGGGGGCAGGGGAUUUAACAGAAGACCUCAACAGGCCGGGAAAGGGGGCGGGGAAUUAACGCUGAACUGGAAGUUGCGUCCCCGUUUUUUUUCCCGGCGUAUCAAAAUUAUAAUUUUUCAACAAAGAUGCUUGCUUGCAAAUCUAAAUCUCUGAUAGUAUUGACUGAAAAAAAUAUAGUUUACUCUCUAUCUAUCGAUGUCUGUUGAUUUUUAAAUUUGGGGUAGCCUGUGGUGAAAAUACUAGAAAGGGCACGAAAGCGGGUGUAGUAUGCAUACGCUUUUUCCCGCCGAAGUUUCGUUCACUAACAUGGCAGCUCAAAGAAAGGUAUGGCUUUCUAUGGUGGGACGUUAUCGGAAAAUACCGGGGCCAUGUAUUGGGGGUUUUAACAGCGUCAUUUCACACCACAUGAAUGCUACUUUACCCGCUAUGUCCCGGGGGCCGGGGUGCCGUGGUUUCAAUUGACUUGUGCAUAAUAACUUUGGGGCAUUCAUUGAGCGAAAAUGAUAAUAAUAUGAUGAUAAAACGCGA